UUAAAUGCUAUGACGGAAAUAAGUAGCCUUUUGCGAAAUUUCAGAGAGCUUUCGGUCGGUGCGAGAAAGCAUUUCUACAAAGUGUGAAUACAUUCCUGAGCUGUUCGCUGAGAAAGCUUUUGCGUAAGGCGAAACGGUUUGCACACGUUACCGUGCUAUGGCUUCGCUUUCUGCUGAGCCUGUAAGGUCGGGAGUUUCCCCGAUAAACUGAGGUGGUACCACGAUAAUUCGUCCUCUGA
rnacentral:ncRNA from 1 species